rnacentral:rRNA from 1 species
AACGCGAAGAACCUUACCUGGGCUUGAACCGCACAGGACCAUCUUUGGAAACAGAGACUUCCCGCAAGGGACCUGUGUAGAGGUGCUGCAUGGCUGUCGUCAGCUCGUGCCGUGAGGUGUUGGGUUAAGUCCCGCAACGAGCGCAACCCUUACUCGUAGUUGCCACCCGCAAGGGGGAACUCUACGAGGACUGCUCCGGAUAACGGAGAGGAAGGUGGGGAUGAGGUCAAGUCAGCAUGGCCUUUAUGUCCAGGGCUACACACGUGUUACAAUGCGCGCCACAAAGCGUCGCGAACCCGCGAGGGGGAGCUAAUCGCAAAAAAGCGCGCUCAGUUCGGAUUGCAGUCUGCAACUCGACUGCAUGAAGCCGGAAUCGCUAGUAAUGGCGCAUCAGAACGGCGCCGUGAAUACGUUCCCGGGCCUUGUACACACCGCGAGC